CCUCGCUCGCAGGGAGGUGUGGAAGGAGAGGCGUGAGCGGGAACCAGGGCUGCGUGCGGUGCUUGCGGGCCAGCUGGAGUUCUGGGUGGGCGUGGGCUUGGCGGGCCCCGCACUUGGAGCACCGGGGCCCUGCCGGCCCCGGGCAAUGAGGGACUUAGCACCCGGGCCAGCGGCUACAGGGGGUGUACUGGGUCCCCCAGCAGUGCCAGCCCACCGGCGCUGGGCUCGAUUUCUCACCAGGCCUUAGCUGCCUUCCCACGGGGCAGGGCUCGGGACCUGCAGCCGGCCAUGCCUGAGCCUCCCACCCCGUCCAUGGGCUCCUGUACGGCCCGAGCCUUCCCGACGAGCACCACCCCCUGCUCCACGGCGCCCAGUCCCAACGACCACCCAAGGGCUGAGGAGUGCGAGUGCACGGCGUGGGACUGGCAGGCAGCUCCACCUGCAGCCCUGGUGCAGGAUCCACUGGGUGAAGCCAGCUGGGCUCCUGAGUCUGGUGGAGAUGUGGAGAACCUUUAUGUCUAGCUCAGGGUCUGUGAGUGCACCAAUCGACACUCUGUAUCUAGCUCAAGGUUUGUAAACACACCAAUCAGCACCCUGUGUCUAGCUCGAGGUUUGUGAAUGCACCAAUUGACACUCUGUAUCUAGCUGCUCUGGUGGGGUCUUGGAGAACCUUUAUGUCUAGCUCAAGGGUUGUAAAUACACCAAUCAGCACCCUGUGUCUAGCUCAGGGUCUGUGAAUGCACCAAUCAACACUCUGUAUCUAGCUGCUCUGGUGGGGCCUUGGGAAACCUUUGUGUCCAUACUCUGUAUCUAACUGAUCUGAUGGGGACGUGGAGAACCUUUAUGUCUAGCUCAGGGAUGGUAAACGCACCAAUCAGCACCCUGUCAAAACAGACCACUCCGCUUUACCAAUCAGCAGGACGUGGGUGGGGCCAGAUAAGAGAAUAAAAGCAGGCUGCCCCAGCCAGCAGCGCCGACCCGGUCUGGUCGCCUUCCAUGCUGUGGAAGCUUUGUUCUUUCGCUGUUUGCAAUAACUCUUGCUACUGCUCACUCUUUGGGUCCACACUGCUUUUAUGAGCUGUAACACUCACCGCGAAGGUCUGCAGCUUCACUCCUGAAACCAGCGAGACCACGAGCUCACCGGGAGGAACGAACAACUCCAGACGCGCCGCCUUAAGACCUGUAACACUCACCGCGAGGGUCCACGGCUUCAUUCUUUAAGUCAGUGAGACCAAGAACCCACCGAUUCCGGACACACCAGCAAAACCAGCCAUGAAGCAGAUAUGGGAGGAUAGGGAGAAGAUGUGCCUCGCUAUUGAAGAUCCAAUGCUCCAGUGGAAGAAGAU